rnacentral:rRNA from 1 species
ACGUAGGGAGCAAACGUUGUCCGGAUUUAUUGGGCGUAAAGGGCUCGUAGGCGGUUCAACAAGUCGAUCGUGAAAGCCCGGGGCUCAACCCCGGGAUGCCGGUCGAAACUGUUGUGACUAGAGUUCGGUAGAGGUGAGUGGAAUUCUCAGUGUAGCGGUGGAAUGCGCAGAUAUUGAGAGGAACACCAUUAGCGAAGGCGGCUCACUGGGCCGAUACUGACGCUGAGGAGCGAAAGCGUGGGGAGCAAACAGG